CCCCUAGAUGUUCUGGGCCGCACGCGCGCUACACUGAACAGUUCAACAAGUCUUAACCUUGGCCGAUAGGUCUGGGUAAUCUUUGAACGCUGUUCGUGAUUGGGAUAGACCUUUGCAAUUAUGGGUCUUCAACGAGGAAUUCCUAGUAAUCGCAAGUCAUCAGCUUGCAUUGAUUACGUCCCUGCCCUUUGUACACACCGCCCGUCGCACCUACCGAUUGAAUGGUCCGGUGAAAUCUCGGGACGGCGGCUUGGUCGCUUGCGUCCGACUGCUGAAACUUGAUUAAACCAUAUCAUUUAGAGGAAGGUGAAGUCGUAACA
rnacentral:rRNA from 1 species